GACAGAGGAUGCAAGCGUUAUCCGGAAUGAUUGGGCGUAAAGCGUCCGCAGGUGGCUGUGUAAGUCUGCUGUCAAAGAGCAAAGCUCAACUUUGUAAAGACAGUGGAAACUACACGGCUAGAGUGCGUUCGGGGCAGAGGGAAUUCCUGGUGUAGCGGUGGAAUGCGCAGAUAUCAGGAGGAACACCGGUGGCGAAGGCGGGAUCCUGGGCCAGUACUGACGCUGAGGAGCGAAAGCGUGGGGAGCAAACAGG
rnacentral:rRNA from 1 species